GGAGAGAGAGAGAGGGAGGGAGUUUAUAAAAAACAAAAAAACUGUUUCCUGAUAAAUAAUGAGGGGGAGAUAAAGGGAGGAAUCGCCCCCCCCCCCCCCCCCCCUCGCUGAGCGGCCUCAUGCUGAUGGAGACAGAUGCUGCAGGAAACGACGAGGAAAAGAAACUGAGGAGGAUCAACGCUGAGCACACACACACACACACACACACACACACACACACACACACACACACACACACACACACACACACACACACACACACACAGACAGACACACACACACACACACACACACACACACACACACACACACACACACACACACACACACACACACACACACACACACACACACACACACACACACAGACAGACACACACACACACACACACACACACAUGAACACACACACACACACACACAUACACACAGACACACACACACACACACACACACACACACACACACUCACACUCUGGGAUGUCAUCCGCAGAGACGUCAGAUUUACACGCCGCCGUAGCUCCACCUGUUUGCCACCAUGACAGGUGUGUGUGUGAUGAUGAGUUCACCUCUCUCUGAUUGGUCGAUGUCGGUGUUCUCGCCAUCACCUCUCGCCGUUUUGAUCCUGUGAUCUGAGCGAACGCGGUUUUGAUGCCAAAUGAACGCCUCUCUCAGCAGAUGGUCAGGGGUCAAAGGUCAGAGUUGGGCUUUGAGGAAACAGACGUCUUUAGGAGGGUCAAUCACCCGGCUCGAUACGCCGCCGCCGAAGACACGCCGAGGGAGCGCCAUUGAUUUAGAGCUGAUCGGCACGCCGCCCAGAUCGGACUCCCCUGUGGCCCCGCCCCUCUGCUACAGUCAUCGCUCUAAUCGCAUGUCAGACCCCUGACCUCGCCGACGAACGGCGUCCAAUCAGAGCAGAGGAAAGGGCGAGGAGAGAUGUCAGGGGGCGAGCUUCUGAGGAGAGGAGAAACGUGCCGAGUUAGCAAAACGCAGAAGAGGAGGAGGAGAGAGAGGGGAGGAGAGGAGGAGAGAGGAGAACGGAGGAGGAGGGAGAGAGGAGAGAAGGAGAGAGAGUGGAGGAGAGGAAGGAGAGGAGGAGAGAAGGAGGAGGUGAGGAAGAGAGGAAGGAGAGGAGGAGGAGGUGAGGAAGAGAGGAGGAGAGAAGGAGAGAGAGAGGAGGAGAGGAAGGAGAGGAGGAGGAGGUGAGGAAGAGAGGAGGAGAGAAGGAGAGAGAGAGGAGGAGAGGAAGGAGAGGAGGAGAGACGGAGGAGGUGAGGAAGAGAGGAGGAGAGAAGGAGAGAGAGUGGAGGAGAGGAAGGAGAGGAGGAGAGAAGGAGGAGGUGAGGAAGAGAGGAAGGAGAGGAGGAGGAGGUGAGGAAGAGAGGAGGAGAGAAGGAGAGAGAGAGGAGGAGAGGAAGGAGAGGAGGAGGAGGUGAGGAAGAGAGGAGGAGAGAAGGAGAGAGAGAGGAGGAGAGGAAGGAGAGGAGGAGGAGGUGAGGAAGAGAGGAGGAGAGAAGGAGAGAGAGAGGAGGAGAGGAAGGAGAGGAGGAGGAGGUGAGGAAGAGAGGAAGGAGAGAAGGAGAGAGAGUGGAGGAGAGGAAGGAGAGGAGGAGGGGAGAGAGGAAAGGAGGAGAGGAGGAGGGGGGGGGAGAGGGGAGAGGAGGUGAGGAAGAAAGGAGGAGAGAAGGAGAGAGAGAGGAGGAGAGGAAGGAGAGGAGGAGAGAAGGAGAGAGAGAGAAGGAGAGGAGGAGGGGAGAGAGGAAAGGAGGAGAGGAGGAGGGGGGAGGAGAGGCUGAGGGGGAGAGGGGAGAGGAGGGGAGGAGGAGGAGCAGAGGAGAGGAGGAGGAGAGGAAGGAGAGGAGGAGAGAAGGAGGAGGUGAGGAAUAGAGGAGGAGAGAAGGAGAGAGAGAGAAGGAAAGGAGGAGAGGAGGAGGGGGGGAGGAGAGGAGGAGGAGGGGGAGGGGGAGAGGGGAUAGGAGGGGAGGAGGUGAGGAAGAGAGGAGAGGAGGAGGAGGAGCGGAGGAGAGGAGGAGGAGAGGAAGGAGAGGAGGAGAGAAGGAGGAGGUGAGGAAUAGAGGAGGAGAGAAGGAGAGAGAGAGAAGGAGAGGAAGGAGAGAAGGAGCAGGUCAGGAAGAGAGGAGGAGAGAAGGGGAGAGAGAGGAGGAGAGAGGAAGGGAGGAGGAGGGGAGAGAGGAAAGGAGGAGAGGGGGGAGGAGGAAAAGGGAGGGGGGAGAGGAGGAGGGUGGAAAGGGGAGAGGAGGAGAGGAGGAAAGGAAAGAGGGAAGAAGGAAAAGAAGGGCCAAAGAAAAGAAGGAAGGAAGGAAGGAACGGGAAAGAAAGGAAGAAAGGAAGGAGGAAGGACGAAAGGGAGGGAGGAAGGAAGAAAUGAGGGAGGAAGGAAGGAAAGGAAGAAAAGGAAAGAUGAAGGAAGGAAGGGAGAAAGGAAAGAAGGACAGAAGCCACAGGUCUAUAACAUCAGACUGAACCCCCCCCCCCCCGGUCGACAACAUUCAUCCCUGGAGGGGGGGUCUAACUCUGUGUUACGGUGGGUUUGACCCUGAAUAAAUAAAAACAGAAUAUCCCUUUAAAAACGGUGGAAUAUCCCUUUAAAAACGGU